rnacentral:rRNA from 2 species
GUGGAAGCCCCGCAAGGGGUGGAGCUGACCGGUACUAAUAGGCCGAGGGCUUGUCCUCAGUUG